UGCAAGUAUUUAUGCAUUUUGUUUAUUUUCUUCCAGCUUGCUGUGGAUAAACAGAGUCUCCAAGGCAUCAGGUACAAAGCACAAGCACUCCCACUGCAGCCAACCCAUCUGCCACAGCUUGAGGAGAGGAAACAGUCCAGACUGCAGCUCAGCAAGGUGUGCAGGCUCACCGCCCUGUACUGCCUGGCAGCAUGACGGAGCUACAGCUCUUCUGAUGGACUGGCCCUGAACUCAAAAAGACCCUCACAGGUACCAAUGGAGCAUCAGCGAUCGAGAAGCAUCCCCGUCCACAGCGCCACCUUGUGGCAGAAGGGCCCUGCGAGCAGGAACACCUUGGUCAGGCCCAAAUCUGCCAAGGGGUGCCGACGACCCUCCCUUUUGCAGAGCCAAAACACCGGAUACAGAGCACUGGACCCACCUCCCAGCCUGCCAACAUGCAGAACCAGGAGAAGCAGCCAGGACAGCGACGGGCACAGCUAUAGUGGACCACCACCGACCCUGAGGCCUGCCAGGACUCAUAUCUGGAGCGGAGUGGCAACAUAAGGAGAUGCAGCAACCAGGAGCAGGGCCCAACCUGCAGAGGUCACGGCAGGAGUGGGGCUCCCUCGGCCCCUGUAGACUUUUAACCCUACCUCCUUCCCAGAACCACCCCCACCUUGAACAAGUACAGUGUGCUGCCUUCCAUCAGACAAGGAGGCAGAGCCCUCACCCUGAACCAUGAGGGGGGGCAGAGGACAGGAGGCAGAGUCCUUACCCUGAACCAUGAGGGGGCAGAGGACAGGAGGCAGAGCCCUCACUCUGAACCAUGAGCAGAGGAACAGAGGAACAGAGGAACAGAGGACAGGAGUCCCUCCUGCAUGGGCUUUUGACCUAGAAUAAGGCUUUCCUGACAGGGGAGAGAACACAGUAAGACUGGAUAAGCAGUGUGUAAACUUGUGCACCACAAUGUAGUUUCUUGCUAUGUAACAAUAACAAUAUUAAGGCAUGGCAACAUUUAGUUCUCUGUACCAGGAAGCACAAUGUGUCGUGCCAAUGGCUAAAACUACAAUUCCCUGGAUCUGUAGUUCUGCAAGUUCCCCUAUAAAUCUGCUUGCCACUAGAUUACUGCCGGGCUCAGAAAGCAUGCUCUUGUUGCCACUUGCAGCAGCAGGGUGUUAUAAAUGAUCCACUGUAUAAUAUUAAAAUAACCUUACAGCA